rnacentral:piRNA from 1 species
UAGUCUAUGUCAGGUGGUACUGUUCGAAC